UUUUGACGCCGUUGACUUUUUUUUUUCACAUGUUUGACCAUUCGUCUUAUUCAAAAAAUUUACGUAAUUAUAAUUUAUUUUGUUAUGAAUUGUUUUAUCACUCAUAGUAGUUGAAGUGUGAUUUGUAUCUUAUACAUUUGCAUAAAAUUUUUGAAUAAGACGAAUAGUCAAACAUGUGAGAAAAGUCAACGGCGUCAUCUAUU
rnacentral:pre_miRNA from 1 species